CGGGGUGUAGCUCAGUUUGGUUAGAGUGCUAGCAUGGGGGGCUAGAGGUCCGCAGUUCGAAUCUGCGCACUCCGA
rnacentral:tRNA from 1 species